rnacentral:lncRNA from 1 species
GGAAAAUCGUGCAACUGAUCGCCCUACAAUUGAGGAUGUUAUAUCCAUGUUAAAAAAAUGAAAUGAUGCCUUUGCCGAUGCCAAACUGUCCAGCAUUUGUCACUAGAACUAGUACAGUUUAUGAACUUGAAAAUGGCAAGUCUGAAAUGUUUUCGGCUAAUGGACUCUCGAUGUCUGCAAUCGAUGGAAGAUAGUUAAACUCGAGAACUACUCUUAUUUGUUACACUGAGUAUUCCAUGAUAUUU